rnacentral:tRNA from 1 species
GGCGAGGUAGCUCAGUNGGUAGAGCACCGCAUUGAAAAUGCGGGUGUCGGCGGUUCAAGUCCGCCUCUCGCCA